CCUACGGGAGGCAGCAGUGAGGAAUAUUGGUCAAUGGGCGCGAGCCUGAACCAGCCAAGUCGCGUGAGGGAAGACGGUCCUAUGGAUUGUAAACCUCUUUUGUCGGGGAGCAAAAGACGCCACGCGUGGCGUUCCGCGAGUACCCGACGAAAAAGCAUCGGCUAACUCCGUGCCAGCAGCCGCGGUAAUACGGGGGAUGCGAGCGUUAUCCGGAUUUAUUGGGUUAAAAGGGUGCGUAGGCGGAAUGCCAAGUCAGCGGUAAAAUCGCGGGGCUCAACCUCGCUCCGCCGUUGAAACUGGCGGUCUUGAGUGGGCGAGAAGUAUGCGGAAUGCGUGGUGUAGCGGUGAAAUGCAUAGAUAUCACGCAGAACUCCGAUUGCGAAGGCAGCAUACCGGCGUCCAACUGACGCUGAAGCACGAAAGCGUGGGUAUCGAACAGGAUUAGAUACCCCAGUAGUC
rnacentral:rRNA from 1 species